rnacentral:rRNA from 1 species
CGCGUAGGCGGCUAAUCAAGUCAGAUGUGAAAGCCCCGGGCUCAACUCGGGAAUUGCAUCUGAAACUGAAUAGCUUGAGUUCUGGAGGGGAUGGUGGAAUUCCCAGUGUAGCGGUGAAAUGCGUAGAUAUUGGGAGGAACACCUGCGGCGAAGGCGGCCAUCUGGACAGUGACUGACGCUGAGGCGCGAAAGCUAGGGGAGCGAACGGGAUUAGAUACCCCGGUAGUCCUAGCCGUAAACGAUGGGCACUUGGUGUUGGGGGCAUUGAGUCCCUCGGUGCCGGAGCUAACGCGAUAAGUGCCCCGCCUGGGGAGUACGGUCGCAAGACUGAA